rnacentral:lncRNA from 1 species
AUGCUUACCUUCCGUUGCAUCUGUGAGUCGGUGGGAAGCACUUGCAUCCUCGCCACCCAGAAGUCUAGAUUGCUCCAGUUCAGCUCUCUCUUUACCUUCAUGGCAAAUGGCUGCACCUGGCCUCCUGCUUGCUAUAGUCACCAGCUGCAAAACAAAUAUAGAAAAGCAAGGCCUGAGGUCAUGCUAUGCAAACCAACCCCUGGGAUCCAUCUGGUCCAACAACCUCAGCUCAUUGAGAAAAGGUAUAGCUGGCCUGCAAAGAUUUCUUAGGAAACUGAACUGACAUUAAAGAGCCCUUGGUUUUAUUUUUAACUCUCCGGCUGUUGGAGUUUGGACAUGUUGGGUUUUCUAUCCUGGAGCAAACCUUUUGCGAUCCACAAGGUGAAAUCCGUCACGGGGUGUAAGGGACAACAACAUGUCACAAAGCGUCAAAACUCAGGGAAACUCACUUGCUGUAGAAGCUGAUCUGCAGAAUCCAUCGGACUGUUCGCCAGACUAAAAGAGCUGUGAUGUUUUGAUCCCUAGAGCUUUUUUGGGUAACCUUUCAUGUACUGUCACCAGUUACUUCCAGGUUUAAUGUGCUUUCAUCAAUGGGUUUUUGAAGCCAGCCUCCACUCCACUCUCACUUUAUUUAUAUAGUGUUGGAGGGUGGAAUUGACAUCCUCUUUCAGACGGAAAGUAAAUUGAGUUCUCUCUUUUAGCUAUGGAUUAUUGAGCAGGUUGCAAUAGAAUUGUAAUGCCGCUGGUGGUGACCUUUGUGUAGGAAUUUUUGUGUAUUUUGCAAAGCAAAAAUAAAUCCAAUGAAGCUUAAUCA